CCUACGGGAGGCAGCAGUGGGGAAUAUUGCACAAUGGGCGAAAGCCUGACGCAGCGACGCCGCGUGAGGGAUGAAGGUCUUCGGAUCGUAAACCUCUGUCAGCAGGGAAGAACGGUCACUGUGCUAAUCAGCAGUGCAUUGACGGUACCUGCAAAGGAAGCACCGGCUAACUCCGUGCCAGCAGCCGCGGUAAUACGGAGGGUGCGAGCGUUAAUCGGAAUUACUGGGCGUAAAGCGCUCGUAGGCGGUAUGUCAAGUCAAGGGUGAAAUCCCCGCGCUCAACGUGGGAACUGCUUUUGAAACUGGCAAACUGGAGUGUGGGAGAGGAUAGUGGAAUUCCAGGUGUAGGAGUGAAAUCCGUAGAUAUCUGGAGGAACAUCAGUGGCGAAGGCGACCAUCUGGCACAUAACUGACGCUGAGGAGCGAAAGCGUGGGUAGCAAACAGGAUUAGAUACCCCAGUAGUC
rnacentral:rRNA from 1 species